GGGGGUCACCUCGAGAAAUUUAGAGAGAGGGAGGGGAGAGCUUCAUUACGCACAAUCUAGUAGUCGCUCAGUGUCUCGCUGACAUGUGCUAAUUGUCCUUGUGUUACGACAGAACGACUUGGUCUUUUUUUUUAGGUGGAGGGGGAGUUCACAGAGCUUUACCCAUCGCACCACACAUCGCUGCUGUCCAAACUUCUGCGCUUAUCCAGCGCGAUCAUCGGAGGUUUUCAGCGCCAUCACCUGCGGAGAGCUUGGUCCACGGCGCAUCGAGAUGAGGCAUCAUGUUGUUGAAUGUGAAAUACCAGGGUACCAAGAAGUACAUCAGAUUGCAGUCAGGCUUCACCUAUUUGGAAUUCAUCAAUGAAGUCAAAAGCAAGCUUGGUCUUCCUGAUGCGGCAGUGGAUGAAGACAUCCUUCUUGAACUGAUAAGAGUCCAAUCCUGACUUAUGCCUGACAGUAUGUGUCAGCUUUCCAGUUGAAGAUUGUAGAAAAGGCCUCGCUAAGGAAACCUGGAAGUGAGGAUGCCCUGGAAGAGUACAAGUCAGAAAAUACGUUGAAGCACAGCACCCGGAGACACCUUGUUAACAUUCUGGCUAGCCAUAUGACUGAAAUGCAUGGGAGCACUUCUAUGAUGGGGGGAAAAACACAGGAUAUUUAUCAUGGCGCCUGAGGACCAUGUCCAGGAAGAACCGGGCGACGAGCAGUCCACAGGCAGCCACAGUGCCUCAACUACAAGGACCAAAGCGCCAAAGACCAGCCGCCACAGAGCCUCAGCAGCUUGAUGGAGAUGCUUGCAGGGAGGCAAUUUAUUUUGUUGUUCACUCUCCUGAUGAAGCAAGGGUGUUUGAGAAGAUGAAGUUGGCCUUACAUCGCCAAGACCUAGUGCAUGACGCAGAGAUCUGCCGACGUCUUCAAAACAUUUCCCAGUUUUCUAGAUGUCAAAGGACUGGCUGGGACAGUGACAUGGCUUCUCUGCUGCUGCUCCUUCAUCUCUUGCCACCCACAGCUGGACGGAAGAAGAGCAAAAUCAGUGCCAGUGAUGCAGUGGAAAAAAUGGUUCAUUUUCACAAGUCGUGCUGCAGUAUUGAUGAACACCUGCGUGGGAGAAAGGGUCAACAACCGUACAUCCUUGCUGCUGGUCGCACCCAGAACAAGAUUGACACCUUCUAUAUCGUCGUUGACAAACAGUUCAUCCCCUGCCAUGCCACCAGCUUCUAAGGUGCUUUUGAUGAACUUUUCAAAUCACACUACGUGUUCAACCUGUCAUACGAGGAGUCCCUGGUCCAGCUCUACACAUUUGUGCAGACAACAGUACUCUACAACAUCGAUGUCACAACAACAGACGAGUCUCUUGAAGAAUCCGUGAGUUGCGGGCAAAACUCCUGAACUAGGAUUAAAACAUGUUUAAGUGUUUCAUAUGUGAAGCUGUACACCAGACUGUCCAGUCCUUGGUAACCCAUUUAAGAAUUGAUCACAGUUUCUAUCCUAGCAGCAGUUUUAAGUUGGUUUGUGCACAAGAUCGUUGUAGGCGUCAGUUUUUGUCAUAUUCUAGUUUAAAAAAACAUUUAAUGAGAGUUCAUGAGGAGAGUUUUGUCAAAGUGGUGUUGCAGCAAACCCGGAGUCCUUUCAACCUAUCUAUCAGUGUCCAAAGUACUUCAGAAGUUGGUGAAACAGGUGUCCCACAGAGCUUAAAGGCUGGUUGUUUUGAGGACAAUGUAUCUGGUGUUAACAAAGAACAUACUAAAAAUAUCUGUGCUUCAAUUGUUGCUAAACUUCAAGAAAGUGGUAUGGCAAAUAGUCUUGUUUCAACAAUUGUUAGUGAUUUGGAGGAACUUGCUACUGGACUGCACUCCCAAGUUAAGCAAGAAAUACUAUCUGCUGUGCCUAAAGACAAUCAUAUCCGAUCUACAUUAGAAGGUCUUGAUACUUUUGAAAAUCCAUUUGUAAGAUUUAAUACUGAAACUAAAAGAAUAAGAUAUUUCAACGAAAAAUGGGGUGUUGUUGAGCCUGUAGAAAUAAUGUUAGGACAUUGAUUCGAUACAAGGCGAAAUAAACAAACCGUUUACUUAUGAUCAAGUUCAAGUAAAAUAAACUUUUUUUUACGUUCCAAUUUUGGAAACGAUCCAAUUCAUGUGCCGCAAUUCUGAUAUGUGUAAAUUGCUUGGGAAAAACGUUUGUAUCGAAAACGGACAAAUUUGAAGACUAUUGUGAUGGUAGUUAUUUUAAGACGCAUGCAUUGUUCUCUAAACGGACUUCUUUACAAAUUCAGAUGUACUAUGAUGACUUUGAAACUGCUAACCCACCGGGUUCAAAACGCGGUAUUCACAAAAUGGGAGCUCUCUAUUUUGUCCUUAGAAAUCUGCCACCAAAGUUUAACUCUGCUGUGAUGAACAUCCAUUUGGUCGCACUGUUUCACACUGAAGAUGUGAAAAAAUAUGGCUUUGAUCCUAUUCUUCAGCUUCUGAUAAAUUACAUUAAAACAAUGGAACGUCACGGUCUUGACUUGCCCUUCUCCACUGAAAAAGUCCAUGGCACUAUGUCAGAUAACUGGGGACAACUUAGGAAUGCAUGCAAUUCUAGGGUUUACAGAGUCUUUUAAUGGACGUUAUUACUGUCGUUUAUGUUACAUGGAUAAGGUGAUGCCCAGAAUGUUAACAGAGGAGCUUUUUGAAAUGCACUGCAAUGAGUUGCAAUCAGACCCACAGAAGUUCUCAGUGUUUGGUUUAAAAAGGAAUUCAACUCGGAAAAAGUUACUUUUGGAAUAUCUCUCAGAACAUGUUCUGUCAAAGCCUGAUCUUUUUUCCAGAAUUUAUGCUUUUGACUAUGGGUACUUGGGCGAAAAAACCGUCCAACAAGGAUUUACUUAAGACAGUAUUGGCAAUAACAUCGGCCUCAAUUCCAAUCAUACUCUUUGUCCCAUGAGGAACAUCCCUUUACUUUUUGGUGACAUUGUGCCAGCAGGAAACAAAAACUGGCUUUUGCCAUUGAUUUUGCUGCAGAUAUCAACAUCAUAUUUUCUCCUUCUGUUACACUAGGCAUGACUGUACUUUUAAAACAUCUAAUAAUGGAACAUCAUGACUUGUUCAAACAGUUGAAUCCGCACAGAAACCUGAUCCCAAAACAUAAUUUCAUGAUACACUACCGAGCUUGCAUAAGAAAAAUAGGGCCUCUACUUAAUAUGUGGAGCAUGAGAUUUGAAGCAGAACUUUAAGUAUUCAAGAACACUCUUAAAAACUUCAAGAACAUCACCAAUCUCUUGCCAAAAAACAUCAAAUGUCUAUAGGAUAUCAUUGGGAGACAUCACCUUUAAACCAUAUUGAGUAUGGACCGUUGAAACCAUUUCAUUUUGAUGAGGAUAGUGAGAGGAUUGCCCGAGCCCUUCAUGCUAGGGCUGAACGAUUUCAGGAAAAGAUUGAAUUGUGAUUUUUCUGGCAGAUAUUGCGAUUUCGAUUUUCUUCAAAUCAAGCUUCAGUGCAAUAUUCACAAUGUACAGUAAUAUUUACAAACAUGACAUCAUACCAUUAAAACAUUACAUGCCAUUACUCUAAUGUAAGAAUGAAAACUAAAGUUAAGAAUUGAUUUUAAAUGUAUUUAUCAAGAAACAUGCAUGUAAACUAAAGUCCUUGACCAACUGCAACAGUCAAAGAUGGCUCUUUUAG
ensembl:lncRNA